CCCCCCCCCCCCCAUUUUGAGGAGAGGGACUAAAGCUCUUUUGUCUUAAGGCAAAACACAGGCACGAAAGGCGCAUCUAGGCGGCAGCUGCACGGAAGUCCAAGGUCAAGUGUUUUGUCCACUUUGGCGCUGCGUUGGAGUUGCGCGACGAAGAAAGAGGAAAACACACGGCAACAAUUGCACUGCACCGAUGAUGUUUUGCUACUUGCGUGCACUCCUAAACUGUCGGGCUACGUCGCAGGGGUCCGCGACCGACACGAGCGCCCCGGCGAGAGCGGCCCAAAUAAAUCCUGAGCACGACGCGGCUCGUCGAAGUCCAAGUUCAAGUUAAGAGAGGCGGCGGCGGCGGCGGCGCUGGCGGCGCUGGCGGCGCUGGCGGCGCUGGCGGCUCCUCGCAGACAAAAGACACACACACACGCACGUUCGUCGUCAAUCAUCUCGGCCCGCAGACUGCCAAAGUGCCAAAGAGCUGAAGGCUGCCACGCUGACCCUUCCUAUCGCACCCCACGUCACGACUUAAGCGCAGCUCGGAAAACAACUGGAAUUAUGGCAGCAUUUUGCACCAAACCUGUCCAGCUCAAGAAACAUUCUCCCAGGCAGAUAACAAUGGCGCUCACCUGAAUGCGGGUCAGAUAAGGCCCCCGCGGUGACCCGGCACUCACCGGAAUCCGGGCGAGUCCGCUGCCCAUCUCCCCAUCAGCUCACUCUUCAACGGACGUGCACCCGCAAACUUUCUCGCAACUUUGAUUGAACGAGAUGGGGAAGAGAUCGACAUUGCCGUUCAAGACUGGACAUUUGUGCAGGCGUUGACGUUUUCGAUCGGUCGCCUCGACAACAUUCCUAGGAAAUCACAAUGUCCCGUGACCGGUGAGCAAAUUUGAAAUCAAGGCCUGGGGGCAGGUCAUGCGACUUAGUGUAAUCCUUUUUGUUUUUUUUAUAGGAAGUUAGUUUUUCUCUUCUUUCCUUUGCACACAAUGUUUAAUGCACAACACGGGAUUAUGUGCAACAAUUUUAGCCCGACAUUGUUCAAGGUCUAUUCGAAUUGGGCUGCUCUUCAACCUGCCCAAAAACUUCAACAUUUAAAUCACAAUUCAUUACGGGAAUCAAAUUUGUCUUGAGCACUGACAAUAACAGUUUUGCUGCAGGAAAAAAAAAAGAAAAACACACACACACACACACACAAGUCA